rnacentral:lncRNA from 7 species
CUAGCUACCACCAGCUUCUCCUCAACUAGCCAGCUGCAAGCUCCGAUUAUUCACCCGUGCAACCAUCUAUAUACUAACCAUGCAUCAUAUAUGAUAUAUCCCCAGCUAGCUCAAUCGAUUAUUAAUUAUUUGUUAUCCGGAUCCAUCGCUCAUCGCUGCAUGCAAGCCAUACUGAUAGAUAUAAUACUAUACCAUUAGCUUGAUUCCAUCAUCGAUCAUCCGCGCACGCAUGCUUGGUAAAAGAAAUUCUUCAAGCUUUGUUGCUAUAUAUGCUACUGGAGUACUAUAGAUGUUGCUAUACACUUUAGUGUAGCGAUACAGCAGCAUGAGUAGACGUCCUUGUGUACAAGUGGAAAAAAGAAAGGUGAAGGGAGGAAAUUGAUGUGGCUUCGGCACUACUAGCUUGGCAGAUGCACUGGGCCACGGAUGAUCCCUGUCACUGCCACUAGCCCUGAGAACAAGACGGUGUGAAUUUCAGUGUUUCAUUAUUACCUCAAAUUGACUCUGGGCAUAUCGUUGUCCCUCCGUAGGGGGAGUUUUAUUAUUUUACUAAUUUUCUGUUUGGAUUUUUAUUAUUCACCGAUGCAAAUCAUCAUUUGUUCAAUAAAACUCGAAUCAACUUAUUAUUUGC